rnacentral:rRNA from 1 species
UACGAGGGGGGCGAGCGUUGUUCGGAAUUAUUGGGCGUAAAGGGUGCGUAGGCGGUUUGGUAAGUCUGAUGUGAAAUCUAUGGGCUCAACUCAUAGUCUGUAUCGGAAACUGCCGGGCUUGAGUGUGGGAGAGGUGAGUGGAAUUCCUGGUGUAGCGGUGAAAUGCGUAGAUAUCAGGAGGAACACCUGUGGCGAAAAGCGGCUCACUGGACCAUAACUGACGCUGAUGCACGAAAAGCUAGGGGAGCAAACAGGG